rnacentral:rRNA from 1 species
CUCCCUGAUGUUAGCGGCGGACGGGUGAGUAACACGUGGGUAACCUGCCUGUAAGACUGGGAUAACUCCGGGAAACCGGGGCUAAUACCGGAUGGUUGUUUGAACCGCAUGGUUCAAACAUAAAAGGUGGCUUCGGCUACCACUUACAGAUGGACCCGCGGCGCAUUAGCUAGUUGGUGAGGUAACGGCUCACCAAGGCAACGAUGCGUAGCCGACCUGAGAGGGUGAUCGGCCACACUGGGACUGAGACACGGCCCAGACUCCUACGGGAGGCAGCAGUAGGGAAUCUUCCGCAAUGGACGAAAGUCUGACGGAGCAACGCCGCGUGAGUGAUGAAGGUUUUCGGAUCGUAAAGCUCUGUUGUUAGGGAAGAACAAGUACCGUUCGAAUAGGGCGGUACCUUGACGGUACCUAACCAGAAAGCCACGGCUAACUACGUGCCAGCAGCCGCGGUAAUACGUAGGUGGCAAGCGUUGUCCGGAAUUAUUGGGCGUAAAGGGCUCGCAGGCGGUUUCUUAAGUCUGAUGUGAAAGCCCCCGGCUCAACCGGGGAGGGUCAUUGGAAACUGGGGAACUUGAGUGCAGAAGAGGAGAGUGGAAUUCCACGUGUAGCGGUGAAA